CAUAUCAAUAAGCGGAGGAAAAGAAACUAACAAGGAUUCCCCCUAGUAACUGCGAGUGAAGAGGGAAAAGCUCAAAUUUAAAAUCUGAUAGUCUCUGGCUGUCCGAGUUGUAAUUUAGAGAAGUGUUACCCGUGCUGGACCGUGUAUAAGUCUCCUGGAAUGGAGCGUCAUAGAGGGUGAGAAUCCCGUCUUUGACACGGACUCCCAGUGCAUUGUGGUGCGCUCUCGAAGAGUCGAGUUGUUUGGGAAUGCAGCUCUAAAUGGGUGGUAAAUUCCAUCUAAAGCUAAAUAUUGGCGAGAGACCGAUAGCGAACAAGUACCGUGAGGGAAAGAUGAAAAGAACUUUGGAAAGAGAGUUAAACAGUACGUGAAAUUGCUGAAAGGGAAACGCUUGAAGUCAGUCGCGUUGGCUAGGGAUCAACCUUGCUUUAGUGAGGCGUACUUCCUAGUUGACGGGUCAGCAUCAGUUUCGAUCACUGGAAAAAGGCUUGGGGAAUGUGGCAUCUCCGGAUGUGUUAUAGCCCCUUGUCGUAUACAGUGGUUGGGACUGAGGAACUCAGCACGCCGCAAGGCCGGGUUUCGACCACGUUCGUGCUUAGGAUGCUGGCAUAAUGGCUUUAAGCGACCCGUCUUGAAACACGGACCAAGGAGUCUAACAUGCUUGCGAGUGUUUGGGUGGAAAACCCGAGCGCGUAAUGAAAGUGAAAGUUGGGAUCUCUGUCGUGGAGAGCACCGACGCCCGGACCUGAUGUUUACUGACGGAUCUGCGGUAGAGCACGUAUGUUGGGACCCGAAAGAUGGUGAACUAUGCCUGAAUAGGGUGAAGCCAGAGGAAACUCUGGUGGAGGCUCGUAGCGAUUCUGACGUGCAAAUCGAUCGUCGAAUUUGGGUAUAGGGGGCGAAAGACUAAUCGAACCAUCUAGUAGCU
rnacentral:rRNA from 1 species